GGAAGUAAAAGUCGUAACAAGAUCUCCGUAGGUGAACCUGCGGAGGGAUCAUUACAAGUGACCCCGGUCUUACCACCGGGAUGUUCAUAACCCUUUGUUGUCCGGCUCUGUUGCCUCCGGGGCGACCCUGCCUUCGGGCGGGGGCUCCGGGUGGACACUUCAAACUCUUGCGUAACUUUGCAGUCUGAGUAAACUUAAUUAAUAAAUUAAAACUUUUAACAACGGAUCUCUUGGUUCUG
rnacentral:misc_RNA from 1 species